UCCAGACUCCUACGGGAGGCAGCAGUGGGGAAUAUUGCACAAUGGGGGAAACCCUGAUGCAGCAACGCCGCGUGAGUGAAGAAGUAUUUCGGUAUGUAAAGCUCUAUCAGCAGGAAAGAGAAUGACGGUACCUGACUAAGAAGCCCCGGCUAACUACGUGCCAGCAGCCGCGGUAAUACGUAGGGGGCAAGCGUUAUCCGGAUUUACUGGGUGUAAAGGGAGCGUAGACGGUGAAGCAAGUCUGAAGUGAAAGGCGGGGGCUCAACCCCCGGACUGCUUUGGAAACUGUUUGACUGGAGUGCAGGAGAGGUAAGUGGAAUUCCUAGUGUAGCGGUGAAAUGCGUAGAUAUUAGGAGGAACACCAGUGGCGAAGGCGGCUUACUGGACUGUAACUGACGUUGAGGCUCGAAAGCGUGGGGAGCAAACAGGAUUAGAUACCCCAGUAGU
rnacentral:rRNA from 1 species